GGGCCAUUAGCUCAACUGGCAGAGCACCCGGCUUUUAACCGGGGUGUUGGGGGUUCGACUCCCUCAUGGCCCACCG
rnacentral:tRNA from 3 species